rnacentral:rRNA from 1 species
GAUGAACGCUAGCGGCAGGCUUAACACAUGCAAGUCGAGGGGUAGAAGUUGCUUGCAACUUUGAGACCGGCGCACGGGUGCGCAACGCGUAUGCAAUCUACCUUAUACAGAGGGAUAGCCCAGAGAAAUUUGGAUUAAUACCUCAUAGUAUAAUUGAAUGGCAUCAUUUAAUUAUUAAAGUUCCAACGGUAUAAGAUGAGCAUGCGUCCUAUUAGCUAGAUGGUAAGGUAACGGCUUACCAUGGCAACGAUAGGUAGGGGUCCUGAGAGGGAGAUCCCCCACACUGGUACUGAGACACGGACCAGACUCCUACGGGAGGCAGCAGUGAGGAAUAUUGGACAAUGGGCGCAAGCCUGAUCCAGCCAUGCCGCGUGCAGGAAGAAGCAUCUAUGGUGUGUAAACUGCUUUUGUACGGGAAGAAACAUUCCUUCGUGAAGGAGCUUGACGGUACCGUAAGAAUAAGGAUCGGCUAACUCCGUGCCAGCCGCCGCCGUAAAAC